rnacentral:misc_RNA from 1 species
AAGCUGCGAUAAGUAAUGUGAAUUGCAGAGCUCAGUGAAUCAUCGAGUCUUCGAACGCACAUUGCGCCCCCUGGUAUCCCGGGGGGGCACGCCUGUCCGAGCGUCGUCACCGUCCAUCAGCGCCCCCUGCCCCGGCGGGGUGGGGCUGGACUUGGGCCGAUCGCCCCCCGAGCGUGGCGGGCCCGCAAGGUAGGACCGGUGCCCCCGUCGAGUCCCGAGCGCAGCAGCAGACCUCGCGUCGCUCGAGCCGACUCUGGCGCGGUGUCACCGCCGGGCGGGAGGCCCACGGGCAUCCCGCCGCACCCAACACGUUGACCUCGGAUCAGGCGGGGAUACCCGCUGAACUUAAGC